rnacentral:rRNA from 1 species
UACGUAGGGUCCGAGCGUUAAUCGGAAUUACUGGGCGUAAAGCGUGCGCAGGCGGUCUUGUAAGCCAGAUGUGAAAGCCCCGGGCUCAACCUGGGAACUGCAUUUGGGACUGCAAGGCUGGAGUACGGCAGAGGGAGGUGGAAUUCCACGUGUAGCAGUGAAAUGACGUAGAGAUGUGGAGGAACACCGAUGGCGAAGGCAGCCUCCUGGGCUAGUACUGACGCUCAUGCACGAAAGCGUGGGGAGCAAACAGG